rnacentral:rRNA from 1 species
GAUGAACGCUGGCGGCGUGCCUAAUACAUGCAAGUCGAGCGAACGGACGAGAAGCUUGCUUCUCUGGUGUUAGCGGCGGACGGGUGAGUAACACGUGGAUAACCUACCUAUAAGACUGGGAUAACUUCGGGAAACCGUAGCUAAUACCGGAUAAUAUUUUGAACCGCAUGGUUCAAAAGUGAAAGACGGUCUUGCUGUCACUUAUAGAUGGGUCCGCGCUGCAUUAGCUAGUUGGUAAGGUAACGGCUUACCAAGGCAACGAUGCAUAGCCGACCUGAGAGGGUGAUCGGCCACACUGGAACUGAGACACGGUCCAGACUCCUACGGGAGGCAGCAGUAGGGAAUCUUCCGCAAUGGGCGAAAGCCUGACGGAGCAACGCCGCGUGAGUGAUGAAGGUCUUCGGAUCGUAAAACUCUGUUAUUAGGGAAGAACAUAUGUGUAAGUAACUGUGCACAUCUUGACUGUACCUAAUCAGAAAGCCACGGCUAACUACGUG